rnacentral:rRNA from 2 species
UUGACCUCAAAUCAGGUAGGACUACCCGCUGAACUUAAGCAUAUCAAUAAGCGGAGGAAAAGAAACUAACAAGGAUUCCCCUAGUAACUGCGAGUGAAGCGGGAAAAGCUCAAAUUUGAAAUCUGGCAGUCUUUUUUUUCUUCUU